GACAGAGGGGGCAAGCGUUGCUCGGAAUUACUGGGCGUAAAGGGCGCGUAGGCGGCCUGCUAAGUCGAACGUGAAAUCCCCGAGCUCAACUCGGGAACUGCGUCCGAUACUGGCAGGCUUGAAUCCGGGAGAGGGAUGCGGAAUUCCAGGUGUAGCGGUGAAAUGCGUAGAUAUCUGGAGGAACACCGGUGGCGAAGGCGGCAUCCUGGACCGGCAUUGACGCUGAGGCGCGAAAGCCAGGGGAGCAAACGGG
rnacentral:rRNA from 1 species